UACGGAGGAUCCAAGCGUUAUCCGGAAUCAUUGGGUUUAAAGGGUCCGUAGGCGGGACAGUAAGUCAGUGGUGAAAGUCUGCAGCUCAACUGUAGAACUGCCAUUGAAACUGUUGUCCUUGAGUCAUUAUGAAGUGGUUAGAAUAUGUAGUGUAGCGGUGAAAUGCAUAGAUAUUACAUAGAAUACCGAUUGCGAAGGCAGAUCACUAAUAAUGUACUGACGCUGAGGGACGAAAGCGUAGGUAGCGAACAGG
rnacentral:misc_RNA from 1 species